rnacentral:rRNA from 1 species
UGACCGGCCACCACUGGGACUGAGACACGGCCCAGACUCCUACGGGAGGCAGCAGUGGGAUAUGCACAUGGGCGAAAGCCUGAUGCAGCAACGCCGCGUGAGGGAUGACGGCUUCGGGUUGUAAACCUCUUUUAGCAGGGAAGAAGCGAAAGUGACGGUACCUGCAGAAAAAGCACCGGGCUAACUACGUGCCAGCAGCCGCGGUAAUACGUAGGGUGCAAGCGUUAUCCGGAAUUAUUGGGCGUAAAGAGCUCGUAGGCGGUCUGUCGCGUCUGCUGUGAAAUCCCGAGGCUCAACCUCGGGCUUGCAGUGGGUACGGGCAGACUAGAGUGCGGUAGGGGAGAUUGGAAUUCCUGGUGUAGCGGUGGAAUGCGCAGAUAUCAGGAGGAACACCGAUGGCGAAGGCAGAUCUCUGGGCCGUAACUGACGCUGAGGAGCGAAAGGGUGGGGAGCAAACAGGCUUAGAUACCCUGGUAGUCCACCCCGUAAACGUUGGGAACUAGUUGUGGGGUCCUUUCCACGGAUUCCGUGACGCAGCUAACGCAUUAAGUUCCCCGCCUGGGGAGUACGGCCGCAAGGCUAAAACUCAAAGGAAUUGACGGGGACCCGCACAAGCGGCGGAGCAUGCGGAUUAAUUCGAUGCAACGCGAAGAACCUUACCAAGGCUUGACAUACACGAGAACGGGCCAGAAAUGGUCAACUCUUUGGACACUCGUGAACAGGUGGUGCAUGGUUGUCGUCAGCUCGUGUCGUGAGAUGUUGGGUUAAGUCCCGCAACGAGCGCAACCCUCGUUCUAUGUUGCCAGCACGUAAUGGUGGGAACUCAUGGGAUACUGCCGGGGUCAACUCGGAGGAAGGUGGGGAUGACGUCAAAUCAUCAUGCCCCUUAUGUCUUGGGCUUCACGCAUGCUACAAUGGCCGGUACAAUGGGCUGCGAUACCGUAAGGUGGAGCGAAUCCCAAAAAGCCGGUCCCAGUUCGGAUUGAGGUCUGCAACUCGACCUCAUGAAGUCGGAGUCGCUAGUAAUCGCAGAUCAGCAACGCUGCGGUGAAUACGUUCCCGGGUCUUGUACACACCGCCCGUCAAGUCAUGAAAGUCGGUAACACCUGAAGCCGGUGGCCUAACCCCACGUGGCGGGG